GUGAGAAAAUCUGCUCUUUUUCUGGAGGGUGCAUCUCUCAUCCCACACAUCUCUGUGUGACAGUGAAGGCAGUAAAAGAAAGGCACAGGAUAACUCCUUGAGCAGAGAAUCAGCAAUGGCAAAAUCAAAAUCAAUAAUUCUCUCUCUUGUCAGUCAAGACAUUUGUGGAAAAGUCCUGCCUUCUUUGUUAGACAUCUAAAACCAAAAAAACCCACAAAGCACUUACAUAAGUUCUCCUCCAGAUCUGUUCUCUAAGUCAUGAAAAUUCAAAACACACACACAAAAGUAUUUUUCUUAGCUUAGAAUCAGCCCCUGGACAUUGUUUUACUUGCAGCUAAACAGGAAACAUAUUACCAUUUUCUUCAUAAUUUAUAUCAAGCUGUACCAGCACAAACUUUUGUUUUCUAAACAGGUUUUGAUACAAGCCUAGACCUUCUAUCAGUUUCCUUUGUCUUGGGUUAUUUCUUUGCAUUAAUGUCCAUGUUGGCUCAACAUUUUAAGCAGAAAUAAAAGCAUUUAAAGUUU